GAUGAACGCUGGCGGCGUGCCUAAUACAUGCAAGUCGAGCGAACGGACGAGAAGCUUGCUUCUCUGAUGUUAGCGGCGAACGGGUGAGUAACACGUGGAUAACCUACCUAUAAGACUGGGAUAACUUCGGGAAACCGGAGCUAAUACCGGAUAAUAUUUUGAACCGCAUGGUUCAAAAGUGAAAGACGGUCUUGCUGUCACUUAUAGAUGGAUCCGCGCUGCAUUAGCUAGUUGGUAAGGUAACGGCUUACCAAGGCAACGAUGCAUAGCCGACCUGAGAGGGUGAUCGGCCACACUGGAACUGAGACACGGUCCAGACUCCUACGGGAGGCAGCAGUAGGGAAUCUUCCGCAAUGGGCGAAAGCCUGACGGAGCAACGCCGCGUGAGUGAUGAAGGUCUUCGGAUCGUAAAACUCUGUUAUUAGGGAAGAACAGAUGUGUAAGUAACUGUGCACAUCUUGACGGUACCUAAUCAGAAAGCCACGGCUAACUACGUG
rnacentral:rRNA from 1 species